rnacentral:lncRNA from 10 species
CUGAUGUCUGUGAAACAGGUUUACUGGGCACAGAUCGCCAACUUGUCUGAGUCCUGUGAGGCAGAACAUCCACAUACAGGUUACAUGAAGUGGGUUUGUCACUCACAGAUAGGCAGCAAUGGAUCACAGAAGCCUAGGAUUUGUGACAAGGGCCUUCCAAGGCUCAGGAAAGCUGCUCAGAUGGAGUCUUGUCUGCUUGUGCCCCACUGGCACCACAGCUGAGGGACCUUGGAAAGCAGCCCAUCCUUGGUUUUAUACUUUAAGGAAAUGGGACUCACUGGGCUAAAGCAUAGCAAGACAUUCUGUUUUAGGAGAAAUGCGGACAGAGCCUGCACUGUUCCAGCCAGUAUCUCCUCAUCUCAGGACGCUGCAUUCUCAGCACAUUCUACAGUUAUUCUUGAGAACUACAAGUGAUAAAGAGGGUUCGUUCAAAGGCUAUCCAGUGACACUGUCCCACAGCGUCAACGUACAGAGUACCAGCAGGACAUGCAUAUAACCAGAUGUGUGGAUUUAUCCUCUCGAUAGAUGCCAAAGGGCUCUCUAAAUUAUAGGAUUCUGCAGCUGUGAGAGGCCGCUGGUCAGCUGGUUCUUCACAGGUGAGGAGAGGAGAGCCAAGAACUGAAGCAGCUCUGGGCUGUGAUGCAUGAUCUGACUUCCAGCCGGUGUGAGUCCUUCCCGAGGGUCCUCUGGAGGAUGCACGCACGGGGGGACUGGCAGGGCUGAGGAGCUGCUACAGCCAAGCAGCCUGAUGCCACUGCUGACUCAUUCCUCUUCGAGGUGACACAUGGCUCCCCACAACACAGACACUGGGCCUGAGCCCCAUCACUGACUGGACCAUCGACUGACUCCCUGUAGAAGGCCUUGGCAGAGAGAGUCUGUGGCUCUGGAUACAUUCUAAAGAGAUCUGUGACCUGAAAGAGGUUGAGAAGUUAUAAAGAAACAUGUGAAUUAAAAUGGAAGAAAGGGACAAUUGGAAGCAUAUCUGAGGUUCAUCUAAGAAAAAUGAAAAUUUAUGUCCAUACAAAGAUGAGUAGAUAAAUGUAAUAGCCAAAACAUGGAAAAAACAUGCCCAUCAAAGGAAGGUAGACAAAUUACGAUAUAUUCACACAGACUUCUCAGGAACGAAGAGAAACAAACUACUGAC